rnacentral:rRNA from 1 species
CCUACGGGGUGCAGCAGUGAGGAAUAUUGGUCAAUGGGCUUACGCCUGAACCAGCCAAGUCGCGUGAGGGAAGACUGCCCUAUGGGUUGUAAACCUCUUUUGUCAGGGAGCAACGCCGGCUACGUGUAGCCGGACUGAGAUUACCUGAAGAAAAAGCAUCGGCUAACUCCUUGCCAGCAGCCGCGGUAAUACGGAGGAUGCGGGCGUUAUCCGGAUUUAUUGGGUUUAAAGGAGGCGUAGGCGGAAUGCCAAGUCAGCGGUAAAAUCGGGGGGCUCAACCUCGCUACGCCGUUGAAACUGACGUGCUUGAGUGGGCGAGAAGUAUGCGGAAUGCGUGGUGUAGCGGUGAAAUGCAUAGAUA